AUACUAAGAAUAAUUACUUAUUAUAUAAGUAAAUGAUUAGAUAAUUAAAAAUUAUAUUUAAAUUAAACGAUACAAAAAAUUUGAAAAUACCGCAGCGUAGCGCGGGUGAUUACCUAGUGGUGAUAAAAGGAUGUGUAAAACAUGCAAAUUAUAGACAUAUCAACUCCCCCAAACUUAGUCUUUGCUUGCCCUCAAGCAAACAAGUAGACAUAAGCUGAAGGAGAGGUUUGAAGGUGGGGAUUCAGAACCAAAGCAUCAGAUAAAUCAGAUAGAAUCAAUGUUCAAGUUGGCAGUUCUAGGAUGCGAUAUUAUCGAACUCUACUCAAAAACGUUAGCCAUGCCUUAUUAUAGUUCAAUCCCACUCUUAUACUCGACCUACACAUGCUUUCAAAUCUACCAAUCCCUUUAACAUUCAUUAGUUUAGGAACGUGAAUCAAGCUAUGCAUCAUCAAUGAACUCAUUUGGCUAAGAUGAAGGUCAGGAGACAAAGAUGGUCCCUUUCUGGUGGUUCAAGUUUAGUAACAGGGGACUCUCAAAAGAAAUGGACUGAGCUUUAGGAGAAUGCUAAAGGUAAGAGCCAACCUAUGCAUACAAGAAUAGUAUCCCAUCUACCCAAAAACAUAGACACUGUAUACACCAGCAGAUGGUACUACCAUCAAGCCCAGAAUAUGAUCCUAGUUCUACCCUUUGCACUCAAGGCAUUUUUUUUUUUCUCAUUCUUAUCUUGGAUCAAACCACUCUUUCUUUUCUUUGACUCUUAUUCUAAGGAGAAGUUUCUUUUACUUUGAUGGAUCUAGUGGACUUUGGUUUUCGUUGACAACUAUGGCUUUUGUUAUCUUCUUGUGAUCAAGACUUUUCUAGACUUUCCUAU
rnacentral:sRNA from 1 species